GCCUUGAAGACCAUAUGCACGGAAAGACCAGACUAGCCUGUAGAAAAGAGCUGGUAGAAGAUGGAGACUCUCACUAUAAAGUAUCUUUUGUUCUAUGGGGUUCCUGUCUGCAAGUCACAUGUUGGUCAUUGCAGCUAGUACCAGCACCUGAAAAAUAAGAAAGACUUUUUAAAAAAAUAAAAAGGCUUUUCCUCCAAAUGCCAUCACUGUAUUUUUUACUGCAGCUCAGUGACGAUAUUCUUCACCAUAAUCAAAUUGGUCAGUUAUUGCCUACACCUCAUGUUUGAUAAAGGAGAAGUGAUUCAGCAAAGGCCCUCCAGAAAGAAAGAAAAGCCAAAUAAAGAAAAAGAGGCCAUCAGUGACCACAUAACCAAUCAUAAAAAUGCAGGCAAUAAUGGGCGGAUUAACAACGGCAAAAAGGAAGAGGCCAGUGGAACCCUCUCCACGCCUCCCCUCCACGGCAGCUCCAGAGGACAGAGGAUAAACCCUCAUCACUCAUCUGGGCUCCUGGUUAGUGGUCUGUUUUCUGUGUCACUCUCCUCAUGCUGCUGGAGUGUUGAUCAUGGAAGUGUGAAAUGGUGGUGACUGCAACUUAGGUGCACUGGUUGUAAAUACUGGCCUUUGGGUGGAAAUGACCUGAGGGGAGCACAUGCACCAUGAGAUAAACACCCAGUCACCCCUUCCAGGCACACCCACCGGCCUUCUCUGCAGUCUGCCUGCCCUGCUGGGACUGCACCGUGGCCAGAAGAACCCAUAAGCACACCUUCA